rnacentral:lncRNA from 1 species
CUAGUAUCAGGGUUGUAGGAUAGGGGCCCUUAGAGUUUUUCGUACUACUCACCCGGGGUUGGGUGAGGCUUGGAAGGGCUAUCCAUAGAUGAUUUGUGUUUUGGAUUGUGUCUCCCUUAUGGUAGUUACUGUAUGAUAUUAUUGCAUGUUGUUUUAUUUAUGGUUCUUAUGUUUAGAUAAUUAUUUACGCUAUUUCUGUUGGACU